UCUCAGGAGACAGCUAUAUCCAGCUCCUGUCAGCAUGCACUUCUUAGCUUUUGUUUUUAGUUUUUACUCCAUGGUUGUUCUUAGCUAACUAUUUGAUGCACAUAUAUGUCUCUUCCCUUUAGCUUUUCAUGUUGGUCCUCUCCCUUCCUGGACUUCCAACAUUUCAGUCUUUUAAAUUGCUUUCCUUUGGAAAGUUAGCUUGGCUCUAUGAUUCUUAACUGUAUGCACCUAGAAACUUUAAAGAUUCCUUUUCUGUUUUGUUUUGUUUUUUGUUUUUGUCUCUUAAUGUAGACUUACAAUACUGUAUGCUCAUAAAGCUUAAGGCUUUACCUACUGGGCUAAGCCUUUGAGUUGCUUUAUCGUGCAUCUUGAGUAGAACAUUUUGUCAUUUUUGUCUCAGAUUAUAAAUAGUAAGAGGAGUUACCAUCAGAGUAGCAGCUGUGAGGUUAGCUCAGACCCUAAGCCAAGAGGUUCUCUGAAACCAUUUGUCUCUGAGGCAACUGUUAAUUUUGUCAUAGAUUCCUAGAAACUGACCUGACAGCAACUCUACAAAUAGAAGCUCUUUUAGGAACCUCUUCCCCUGACAAAACUGCUCUGCUUCCCUGCGUUUUGUGUGUCAACAGUUCCUUCUCUGACAAACGAAAUGAUCAAAAUGGUGGGGUGUUUACUCAUUUAUGCUCUGAGACCUGGGGAAACUUUUCAAAAGAUAAUCCCAUAGCUAUGAAAAUACUCUGAGGACAAAAAUGCAUCUUUCUUUCUUUUGGGAGGUUCCUCUGAGUUCCAAAUGUGUCUCCUCUUACAGGUUAGAGUAAAGUAGAAGGCCUUUAAUCGAUCUAUUUAAAGACCAACUACUUACAUAACUUAACAGAAUAACAAGAGACGACAUCAUAUGUAACAGAAAUAAUGAAAAGGAAAAGAACUGGCCAGAGCUAGUAUGACUCUAGACUAGUCAGGGAUCUUAAUCAAACUCCAACCUCACUGUGCCUUGUUAUCUUAGCAACAGAUUAUCAUAUAACUUUGGGAUCUUUUAUACCAACUUCUGCACUCUAGACAUGUGCCAGGAAUCCUGGGAGCUUUGUAGAAAUGCAGAUUGCUAGAUCUCAGGCCAUCUCUGUUAAAUCAGAAUGGCUGUAGGCUAAGGAUCUAGUUUCUCCUUUAUUUUUGAGGCAAGAUUUUUCUGUGUUGAGCAAAACUAUUGUUCAUGCAAUCCUCUUGCCUUAGCCUUUCAAGGAACUGGGAUUAUAGGCCUCACAUCCAGCCAGAAGUCUGAUUUUUUUUUCUAAGUUCCUUUGGUAACUAAACUGCAAGCCCUGCCUGCCACUGACCCUAUAUCUAUAUUUAGAAAGUGGAGAUUCUUGGUGACUAAGUGCCGCUGAUCUAACUCUGAUUUGUUUAGUUGUAACGUUCUUUUCAGCCAGUAUCUGGUUACCAUAGCAUGUUAACCAAUCCUAGGAUUUCCUCCAUUGCCCUUACAUUUGCCAGUGAUACUCAGAGAGUAGAGUCAGAACAGAGACCAUUGCCCUUACCUUCCAUUCCUCCUUGCACUGUUCUUCCUACAAAUAAAUAACUUCAGAAAUAAUUCACCAUGACAAUUUGAACAAGAUAAAGAAUUUAGCAGCGUGUGGUGGCACACCCCUUUUUUUCCAGCACUCAGGAAGCAGAGGUUCUCUGAGUUCAAGGAUAGCCAGGGCUGUACAGAGAAACACUGUCUCAAAAAUAAAAAGGAGGAGGAGGGAUGUGUUGAUUAUAGGUUUAAUAUUUCAUGUGAGACAACUACCAGAAACUGUCAAGAGAGUCUUUUUGUUUCCAAAUUUAAGGUUUUAACACAUUUUCAAAUUUGUAAAAUAAUUUUCUGUUUAUUUAGAGGGUCUCAAGAUUUACCUUUUGGGGUGAGAGACAUGGCUUAGCAGAUAAGGGCACUGACUUGCCAACGCUGAGUCCAGGACAUGGGUCCCAUCCCUAGAACUCACAUAGAGGAAGGAGAGAACUGACUCUUGCAAGUUGCUCUCUGACCUCCACACACGAUGGAUGGAUGGAUAUGUGGAUGGAUGAGAGAGAGAGAGAGAGAGAGAGAGAGAGAGAGAGAGAGAGAGAGGAGUUUAUCUCUGUAUUAGUGUUGGAUAACACCAGUAGACUUUUCCAAUGAUGAAUAAUCCAGUCAUUCUUAUCAUUUUUAUGAAGAACUCUACUUGGUCACAUACCUGUUGGAAUUCUUACUAUUAAUGGUUUUGUUUUGCAAACAAUAGGUCAAUCCCAUUUUAUUUAAGACUGGUUUUGUGUGGUUGCUGCUUGGGUGUGGUUGAGACCAACCCAGGAGCUUUCCAGUGCUUUACUUGUAAGCCCACGGUUGAUGCUCUUCUACCCUUUUGGGGAAAACUAAUGAUCUUGUCCUUCUGUCUUAUAAUAGUCUCAUGAUUUCUCACUAGUGUCUCCCAAAAGUACAUACUUUUCCCUUCGAAAAGCCUGUCUCUCCCUGCUUAGAUUUCUGUGCUGUUCUAGCCAAUCCAUGACUAAGACAAAGAUCUCUGCCUUCACGGAUGUUAAAUUUGUUUUUCAAUGAAAAUGAAGAUAAGAAUAAUCAAGUGAGGGCUAGGCUUGUAGCCCUAUCGGUAGAGGGUUUGCUUAGCCUGCUAGAAGUUCUGGAUUCAACCAGCAUAACAACUGGGCAUAGUGCCAGCUUCUGAGAUCCCAGAACUGAAGAAGAAGAGGCAGGAUGGCUGUUAGGGUCAUCCUCCACUACAUACCAUAAAGGGACAUCCAAGGCCAGCCUGGGCUAAAUGAAAUUUUCUUUCUGAAACAAAAAGAAUAAUGAGUUAGAGGUGAGCAGUACAGUGGAGAACCAAAAGAAGAGGAGGUUCAGGGAAUGGCAGGAAGUAAGCACACCCUAAGUGAGAUGAGAAGGUCGGGGUUGGGCUCAGGGACAGUGUGCAUGUGAGCUUAGACUUAAGAUUGGAAGAACUGAAACAAGCAAGCGACAGCUCAAGUGGACAAAGGGGGAGACUUCGCCCUGCCUUGUCACUGAGUUUAGUGUCAGGUUAUAUUACUCUAAUGAAGCCAAUUGAAUAAUUUUACCUUGUUUCCUGUUUUCUUAAAUGGUUGAUUAUGAGUUUUUUUCCCUUUUGAAUGGGGGGGGGGGCAAUGAGGGAGGCACAGAGGUAGGAAUAGCUGAGGCAAGAGUUCUUUGUACAGCCGACGUAGGUCAAACUCAAAUGAUGAUCUCACAGAGGCUGUGGUGCUUGCCCCAGUCAGUAUUGCAGCAUGGGGAGGCAAGGGACUCAGGUUCCCUCCCCUAACUGAGGAGCAGGCGACAGCCGACAAAUUCUGAGGAGGGAAAGCCCAUUUUUAUUACACAUGUGGCCCCUGUUAGGUGGAACAUGUUCUAGUAGAUGGCCCACCACACUGAGGAGUAUAUGGGCAGCACAGACGUGUCCACUGUGGGCUAUAAAGGGGGAGGGGACAUGAGCUAGGCAGGGAGUGGGUCGGUGGAGGUGGGCCUGAUGGUAAAUAUGGUCAAAAUAGGUUAUAUGCAUGUGUGAAAUCCUUAGAUGACCAAUACGAUACAUUAAAGUGGAGACGUUUCAUCUGUUGAAACUGUUUCCAUGGUUUUCAUGUGUAAUGCCCUUUGUCUUCUUUUCCUUGUUUUACCACACAUUUGUCUUUUUUAGUAGGCUUUUAGGGAUGACGGAAGAGCUCUCUGUUCUUGCUUCUCUCUCCAUUUUCUUUGUUAAGCAGUUUUAUUGAGACAUGCAGUUUCCCCUCAUCUUGGACUGUUCUGUUGGGAGGCGCAGAGUCAGUUUGACUGUUUUAGCUAAAGCAUUGACUGCUGGUUGUCUCUCUGGCCACUAGGACAUCCUUCUGUCUGUAGGAACUCUGGUGCCGUGCAGACGCUACACAGUACUCCUACCCCAGUGGUUCCCUUUGUCAAGGAUUUCAGCCCUAUCUGCUUCACCAGAGCACUUCAAGUGAUUGGGCUAUGAUACUUCCUCAUUUGUUACCUCGUGUCAUUCUGUAAGGGCUCUUUAAGGUUCUUUUUCGAUUUUAAUUUUUACGGAUACAGACUUUGUUGUUCAUUUGUGUGGAUUUUGCUUCUUCAGUGUAUUGUAACCAAUUAGUUGUUAUUCUUUUCAAUGCUCAAAUUAUCCCACAUGUGGGUAGUGGACACCCCUUUGCACUGUCCCUUGUGUCCUGUUGGCAUGCCUCUGUUAUCCUGAGAAUACUUCCUUUGUGGUACAGGAUUUUCCAAGCCUACCUUGUGCUGUCCUUAGCUGAGAUCUGGAAUUAGCCACUUAUUAAUGAUCUCAUCUCCAUUCUGUUUUCCUACGUCACAAUUUUAUGUCUUUAGAGUUUAACAUCUUUCCCACAAUAAAGUUUGAUUGUUAAUACCUGUCAUAGUUAAGGUGGGUUUUUGUUGGGCCCUGUGGAAAGAGGUAAAAGGUCUUCUUUCUGCUCCUGAAAAAGUGAUACUGUACAU
rnacentral:sRNA from 1 species